CAUGCAAGUCGAGCGGUAACAGACAUAAAGAUUCAGCUUGCUGAAUCCGGUGCUGACGAGCGGCGAACGGGUGAGUAACGCGUAGGAAUCUACCCAGUAGCGGGGGAUAGCCCGAGGAAACUCGGAUUAAUACCGCAUACGCCCUGAGGGGGAAAGGGGGCAGUUUACUGCUCUCACUAUUGGAUGAGCCUGCGUAAGAUUAGCUUGUUGGUGGGGUAAUGGCCUACCAAGGCGACGAUCUUUAGCUGGUCUGAGAGGACGAUCAGCCACAUUGGGACUGAGACACGGCCCAGACAUCUACGGAUGGCAGCAGUUAAGAAUAUUGGACAAUGGGGGCAACCCUGAUCCAGGUAUACCGCGUGUGUGAAGAAGGCCCUAGGGUUGUAAAGCACUUUAAUCAGAGAAGAAGCACUUUAAGUUAAUACCUUAAUAUGUUGACGUUACCUGAAGAAUAAGGACCGGCUAACUCCGUGCCAGCAGCCGCGGUAAUACGGAGGGUCCAAGCGUUAAUCGGAAUUACUGGGCGUAAAGCGCGCGUAGGCGGUUUAGCAAGUUGUAUGUGAAAGCCCUGGGCUCAACCUAGGAACUGCAUCCAAAACUACUAAGCUAGAGUACGAGAGAGGAGAGUAGAAUUUCUGGUGUAGCGGUGAAAUGCGUAGAUAUCAGAAGGAAUACCAAUGGCGAAGGCAGCUCUCUGGCUCGUCACUGACGCUGAGGUGCGAAAGCGUGGGUAGCAAACAGGAUUAGAUACCCUGGUAGUCCACGCCGUAAACGAUGAGAACUAGCCGUUGGGCAGAUUUAACUGUUCAGUGGCACAGCUAACGCAUUAAGUUC
rnacentral:rRNA from 1 species